rnacentral:rRNA from 1 species
GUGCCUAAUACAUGCAAGUAGAACGCUGAAGACUUUAGCUUGCUAAAGUUGGAAGAGUUGCGAACGGGUGAGUAACGCGUAGGUAACCUGCCUACUAGCGGGGGAUAACUAUUGGAAACGAUAGCUAAUACCGCAUAACAGCAUUUAACACAUGUUAGAUGCUUGAAAGGAGCAAUUGCUUCACUAGUAGAUGGACCUGCGUUGUAUUAGCUAGUUGGUGAGGUAACGGCUCACCAAGGCGACGAUACAUAGCCGACCUGAGAGGGUGAUCGGCCACACUGGGACUGAGACACGGCCCAGACUCCUACGGGAGGCAGCAGUAGGGAAUCUUCGGCAAUGGGGGCAACCCUGACCGAGCAACGCCGCGUGAGUGAAGAAGGUUUUCGGAUCGUAAAGCUCUGUUGUAAGAGAAGAACGUGUGUGAGAGUGGAAAGUUCACACAGUGACGGUAACUUACCAGAAAGGGACGGCUAACUACGUGCCAGCAGCCGCGGUAAUACGUAGGUCCCGAGCGUUGUCCGGAUUUAUAGGGCGUAAAGCGAGCGCAGGCGGUUUAAUAAGUCUGAAGUUAAAGGCAGUGGGCUUAACCAUUGUUCGCUUUUGGAAACUGUUAGACUUGAGUGCAGA